rnacentral:rRNA from 1 species
GUGUCAGCAGCCGCGGUAAUACGAAGGUCCCAAGCGUUGUUCGGAAUCACUGGGCGUAAAGGGUGCGUAGGCGGUUUGGUAAGUCAGAUGUGAAAUCCCGGGGCUCAACCCCGGAACUGCAUCCGAUACUGCCAGACUAGAGGACUGGAGAGGUGACUGGAAUUCUCGGUGUAGCAGUGAAAUGCGUGGAUAUCGAGAGGAACACUCGUGGCGUAAGCGAGUCACUGGACAGUAUCUGACGCUGAGGCACGAAGGCCAGGGUAGCGAAAGGGAUUAGAAACCCUUGUAGUCC